rnacentral:rRNA from 1 species
UACAGAGGGUGCAAGCGUUAAUCGGAAUUACUGGGCGUAAAGCGUGCGUAGACGGUUACAUAAGUCGGGUGUGAAAGCCCCGGGCUCAACCUGGGAAUUGCAUUCGAGACUGCGUAGCUAGGGUGCGGAAGAGGGAAGCGGAAUUUCCGGUGUAGCGGUGAAAUGCGUAGAUAUCGGAAGGAACACCAGUGGCGAAAGCGGCUUCCUGGUCCAGCACCGACGUUCAGGCACGAAAGCGUGGGGAGCGAACAGG